rnacentral:misc_RNA from 1 species
GAUGAAGAACGCAGCAAAAUGCGAUAAUUAAUGUGAAUUGCAGAAUUCAGUGAAUCAUCGAAUCUUUGAACGCACAUUGCGCCCCUUGGUAUUCCGGGGGGCAUGCCUGUUCGAGCGUCAUUAUAACCCCUCAAGCUCAGCUUGGUGUUGGGGCCUGCCAACUGGCAGCCCUUAAAAUCAGUGGCGGCGCCAUCUGGCUCUAAGCGUAGUAAUUUCUCUCGCUAUAGGGUCCCGGUGGAUGCUUGCCAACAACCCCCAAUUUUCUAUGGUUGACCUCGGAUCAGGUAGGGAUACCCGCUGAACUUAAGCAUAUCAAUAAGCGGAGGA